CCCUUAGAUGUUCUGGGCCGCACGCGCGCUACACUGAUGCAUUCAACGAGCCUAGCCUUGACCGAGAGGUCCGGGUAAUCUUUGAAACUGCAUCGUGAUGGGGCUAGAUUAUUGCAAUUAUUAAUCUUCAACGAGGAAUGCCUAGUAAGCGUGAUUCAUCAAAUCGCGUUGAUUACGUCCCUGCCCUUUGUACACACCGCCCGUCGCUCCUACCGAUUGAGUGUGUUGGUGAGGAGUUCGGAUUGGCUCUUAGUGGUGGUUCGCCACCACCUAGAGCUGAGAAGUUCUCCAAACCGCCCCACUUAGAGGAGGGAGAAGUCGUAACA
rnacentral:rRNA from 1 species